CCUGAAGCCUUUCAGGUGUGGCUGCUGUAUCACCCAUAGGUGGCAGAGUGGAGAGAGGCUGUGUCUACUAUCAGUGUUCUGACCUACAGACAUCUGAAUAAUUAGCAACUUAACAUU
ensembl:snoRNA LOC120094513 small nucleolar RNA SNORA17